rnacentral:rRNA from 1 species
UGGGGAAUAUUGGACAAUGGGCGAAAGCCUGAUCCAGCCAUGCCGCGUGUGUGAAGAAGGUCUUCGGAUUGUAAAGCACUUUAAGUUGGGAGGAAGGGCAGUAAGCGAAUACCUUGCUGUUUUGACGUUACCGACAGAAUAAGCACCGGCUAACUCUGUGCCAGCAGCCGCGGUAAUACAGAGGGUGCAAGCGUUAAUCGGAAUUACUGGGCGUAAAGCGCGCGUAGGUGGUUCGUUAAGUUGAAUGUGAAAGCCCCGGGCUCAACCUGGGAACUGCAUCCAAAACUGGCGAGCUAGAUUAGGGCAGAGGGUGGUGGAAUUUCCUGUGUAGCGGUGAAUUGCGUAGAUAUAGGAAGGAACACCAGUGGCGAAGGCGACCACCUGGGCUCAUACUGACACUGAGGUGCGAAAGCGUGGGGAGCAAACAGG